rfam:Lactobacillus oeni DSM 19972 NODE_31, whole genome shotgun sequence.
CGCUGAAAAAGAAAAAGGAAGUCCCACGUGAACAGGACUUCCCGUGUAGAGCCGUUAAAGACGGUGGCAGAUAUUAAAACAACACUAGU